AAAUUCAUUCAUAUGUUAAUAUGGUAUCAUGGAGCCAGUCUUGCUUACACUGUGAUUCUUGACAUGAAUUUCCGUUGCUUCGCUUCAUAUCAGAUUCUUGUGAUUGUAUAGAAUGAAGGCUGAUGCCAUAAAGAUUGUCUAUGACUGUUGAAUUGUUUGUUCUCUGUUCAAUGUGGUCUUCGAGAAGGCCGAUGCCAAUUCAAACACUUUUUUGAUGAAUUAAGAUCUGGUGGUGGUCAAGUUGUUCAAGAAUGUCAAAUUUGUGGAAAGAGGGGACACAUUGCUAUUGAUUGCAGAUAUAUGGGUAAUUAUGCCUAUCAAAGAGCUCCUCACCCUCCUUCUAUCACUGUUCACUAUGCCUUUCAGGACCUCUCUUCUCAAUUUCAGCAUCCAAAUUCCUUUGCCAAUGUCAUGUUAUCGGUGGUUUUGGUCUUAAAGGAGUGUCUCCAUUUCCUAUAUAGUUGUAUUCUGGUUUUCAACCUGCACCUUCUGUGUUCAAUCAAGCUACUUCUUCAAUUUGUUCUCAAGACAUUUCUGCUGAUCAAGGGAAUUUUGUGCCUUCUUCUAUGCAAGCAUUAACUAAUCAAACCUCUUAUGAGGGUGAGUCUUGGAUUAUUGACAUUGGGGCUUCUCACCAUAUGAGCCCUAACAUCACUCUCUAAAAAUCAACAGUUCCAUACACUGGUGAUAAGAAGAUUAUAGUCGAAAAUGGUGAAGAAUUGAAUGUUCAACAUGUUGGCACUAGAACUAUCAAGACUCUUUCUCACACUCUUCAUCUUAAAAAUACAUUACAUGUUCCUAUAUUAACUGUAAAUCUUCUUUCUGUGAAAAAACUGUGCAAGGUUAAUAACAGUUGGUUUAUAUGUGAUGACAUACAAUUUUUUGUGCAAGACAAGGCAACAUAGGUGGUUCUGUACAACGGAAAGAGUAGCAACAAUGAAUUGUUUAGGAUUCUUAUGCAUGUGUUUCCUUCUUUGCUUACUUCACGUGUACUUUCUUCUUCUGCAUUAUUAGGCAAAGUUGUUAAGCCUUCUCUCUGGCAUCACAAAUUUGGGCACCCUUCAAAUGAAAUUUUGGAAGCACUGUUGAAAGACUUUAGUGUGUCAAGUUCUAGUGAUGUAAUUACUCAUGCUUGUUCUCAUUGUAUUACUGGAAAAAUGAGAAGGCUAGCCUUUUCUGAAAAGUUAGAUAGAGUUGAUAUACCAUUUUAUGAGGUCCAUACUGAUGUUUGUGGUCUUUCUCUAGUUGUAGCAAUUGAUGGAUUUAGAUACUAUGUGUCAUAUGUAGAUGAGGCCACAAGAUUUGUAUGGAUUUACCCUUUAAUAAAUAAAUCAGAAGUUUUUGGUGUA